UACAGAGGGUGCAAGCGUUAAUCGGAAUUACUGGGCGUAAAGCGCGCGUAGGUGGUUCGUUAAGUUGGAUGUGAAAUCCCCGGGCUCAACCUGGGAACUGCAUCCAAAACUGGCGAGCUAGAGCAUGGUAGAGGGUGGUGGAAUUUCCUGUGUAGCGGUGAAAUGCGUAGAUAUAGGAAGGAACACCAGUGGCGAAGGCGACCACCUGGACUGAUACUGACACUGAGGUGCGAAAGCGUGGGGAGCAAACAGG
rnacentral:rRNA from 1 species